GCAGAACGCGAAGAACCUUACCUGGCCUUGACAUGUCUGGAAUCCCGGAGAGAUCUGGGAGUGCCGCAAGGAACCAGAACACAGGUGCUGCAUGGCUGUCGUCAGCUCGUGUCGUGAGAUGUUGGGUUAAGUCCCGCAACGAGCGCAACCCUUGUCCUUAGUUGCCAUCAUUCAGUUGGGAACUCUAAGGAGACCGCCGGUGACAAACCGGAGGAAGGUGGGGAUGACGUCAAGUCAUCAUGGCCUUUAUGGCCAGGGGCUACACACGUGCUACAAUGGCAGAUACAGAGGGUGGCCAACCGGCGACGGGGAGCCAAUCCCAGAAAACUCUGUCUAAGUUCGGAUUGCAGUCUGCAACUCGACUGCAUGAAGCCGGAAUCGCUAGUAAUCGCGGAUCAGCUACGCCGCGGUGAAUACGUUCCCGGGUCUUGUACACACCG
rnacentral:rRNA from 1 species